rnacentral:rRNA from 1 species
GAUGAACGCUGGCGGCGUGCCUAAUACAUGCAAGUCGAGCGAACAGACGAGGAGCUUGCUCCUCUGACGUUAGCGGCGGACGGGUGAGUAACACGUGGAUAACCUACCUAUAAGACUGGGAUAACUUCGGGAAACCGGAGCUAAUACCGGAUAAUAUAUUGAACCGCAUGGUUCAAUAGUGAAAGACGGUUUUGCUGUCACUUAUAGAUGGAUCCGCGCCGCAUUAGCUAGUUGGUAAGGUAACGGCUUACCAAGGCAACGAUGCGUAGCCGACCUGAGAGGGGGAUAGGCCACACUGGAACUGAGACACGGUCCAGACUCCUACGGGAGGCAGCAGUAGGGAAUCUUCCGCAAUGGGCGAAAGCCUGACGGAGCAACGCCGCGUGAGUGAUGAAGGUCUUCGGAUCGUAAAACUCUGUUAUUAGGGAAGAACAAAUGUGUAAGUAACUAUGCACGUCUUGACGGUACCUAAUCAGAAAGCCACGGCUAACUACGUG